rnacentral:misc_RNA from 1 species
UUCAUAAACCCAACAGGAUUGGGGUUUGGAGGGGCAGAAAGGGCGCUCAAGGCAUGCAGCAAUACUAUUGCUACUAAUGAGUGCAGCCACAGGAGGCCAACUAGAUUAUAAAAAUGAUAACAAUGAAAAAGAUGCGCAAAAGGGACAUGCUUUAGAUUUCAUAUUUCAUUUCGACUGCAUUAUCUAAGUGCUCAUCUCCUAACAGGGUGGUUUCCACCUCGAGCUGGUGCCUCAUACCCAUUUCCAGCACGAGCUGGUGGCGUUGUAGACCCAUAAUGCAUAUUGUUUGCCGCUACCAUUUGUCCUUGCAGUCCAGUUGUUGCUCUUGAAGCUGCUCUUGAGGCUGCAUCAUAGCCAGCACCCCUGGAUGCAUCAUAAUGAGG